AUGCAAAUCGGCCGAGUCCGGUGUUUCCCAGCUGCACUUGACACUAUGCUGGCUCUCGCGCCUGUGUGCCGCAGCCCCCGCGAGUAGCUCCCCCCUUUUGCUAGCUAUGGCUUGGGCCGAGGCUGACCAGGGAGGCCGCCCCCGCGUCCCACUGAUUGGCCGCGCCGCCAGGCUCAUUAUGCUCUUUUGUCUCAAUGGGCAAAGGCUGAAAGAAGCAUGGCUGCUGGGAGGGCCUUGUGGGUAGAAGGGGCCGCCUCCGCUGCUGUGGGAACUAUGAGGCCUCAACUCAGCUCCCCCUUGCUGGGCGGCCUUGCAGAGCAGCUCCUUCUAGCAGCCCCAAUUCGCUUAGUGGCCUAGGAAGCAACAUCCUACCCCCACCCCCGCCUCAGGGCCUCAGAGAUCUGAAGACGGCAUACCUUGCUGUCCACUCAGCACCAUCCACUGUCCACCGGAUGAGUACAGGUGGUAGACCUCCAAAGCCAAAUGAGAACUUGAAAUCUGUGUGGCUAAUUGCAGAGCUGGUAGGCUGAAGAUUUCCUUGAGAAAAUGUAAUGUAGGGGUCGCUUUGGCUUGUAUUCAGAAGAUGGGAGAGGGAAUUUUCUGUCUGGAUACAGCGGUGGUUGGGUGGUUGGUGGUGGUGGGAAUGAGGCUGCUUCUGAUUCUUCUCUUCCCUGCCUUGCCCUCCACGAUGAUGCAAUCUGAGGACUGGAAUAUUCGACCCUGAGUGGUAAAAGGUCGACCUACCCCAGAAAGGAACUUUCUCACGGAGGGCAACUGUUGCAGAGUCUGGAAGUGAAAUAAAGGUGUGCCCUUGUUUUUGAGCUCUGCUCCUAUUGAGAUACAAGGAAGGCAGAGCCCAGGAAUAUUGCUUUGGGAAUUCCUCCUGCAGAUUAGGCUUUUCUAAAAGCCUGAGCAUCUUGUUAUACAUGUAGGCGACCAUUGAUCAUUUGGUCAUGGCUAGCAUCAUUACUCAUGUGGGUAAUAGCUGGCGGCAAAACACACUCUUGCCUCCUUGGGCCCCUUCCAUGUUGAGGUCCUUGGGGAGGAGUCUUGGUCCUUUAAGGUUCAGCAUGGCAGAAAGAAACAUGAAUUUGUUUACCAGCAGAGCGGUACCAGCCCAAGGGGAAGAAACCUUUGAAAACUGGCUA